rnacentral:misc_RNA from 1 species
GAUGAAGAACGUAGCGAAAUGCGAUACGUAAUGUGAAUUGCAGAAUUCAGUGAAUCAUCGAAUCUUUGAACGCAUAUUGCGCUCUCUGGUAUUCCGGAGAGCAUGCUUGUUUGAGUAUCAGUAAACACCUCAACUUCCAUAUCUUUUUUGAAAUGGGAGUUGGACUUGAGUGAUCUCAACGCUUUUCCUCACCGAAAAGUGGCGGGUUACUUGAAAUGCAGGUGCAGCUGGACUUUUCUCUGAGCUAUAAGCAUAUCUAUUUAGUCUGCCUAAAAAACAGAUUAUUACCUUUGCUGCAGCUAACAUAAAGGAGAUUAGUUCUUGUGCUGACUGAUGCAGGAUUCACAAAGACAGGCUUCGGCCGACUUUGUAAACUCGAUCUCAAAUCAAGUAAGACUACCCGCUGAACUUAAGCAUAUCAAUAAGCGGGGA